UAGUCCACGCCGUAAACGAUGUCAACUAGACGUUGGGGUUCCUUGAGGACUUAGUGUCGUAGCUAACGCGUUAAGUUGACCGCCUGGGGAGUACGGCCGCAAGGUUGAAACUCAAAGGAAUUGACGGGGGCCCGCACAAGCGGUGGAGCAUGUGGUUUAAUUCGAUGCAACGCGAAGAACCUUACCAGCUCUUGACAUUCUGUGAACUUUCUAGAGAUGAUCGGUGCCUUCGGGAACACAGUAACAGGUGCUGCAUGGCU
rnacentral:rRNA from 1 species